CGAGAAGUAAGAGUAGGUUCAAGAGUUACAUUUAGUGGAAUCACAGAAGUGGAAGAUCAAGAGCCUUACUACGUUACAGUAGAGAAUGAUCAAGCCGAUGGCUCCUCUGAGAGCAACACAGAAGUUGAGGCUUAUGAGACCAUUGAAAAAUAUAAAUCCUCAAUAACUGGGAUACAGCAGGCCCUUGAGAUGGAGGUUCACAGAGGAAGAGCAGACAGCAGUAGUAGCAGCUCACUACAGGAAGGGGAAGUGAAUUCUUUAGUCAUAGAUGGUAAGAAGCUACCACACUGCUCAACCGAAGACAUGGAAUUUGAGCCAAUUCCAGAUGCAGAUGAUAUUACCCAGUUAAAGAGAAGGGGCAGUUCUUCAACAUCAUCUCAGUCAAGUCAGGAAGGUAACUUCUCAAGACAAACUGAACAAAGUGUUGACCCUCCAGCUGUCACUAUACCGACAAACAAAAACACAAUAGGUAGAAUUCCAGGAUUUAGUACAGAGCCGUUUUCAGAAUGGUCAAGCAGACUGACAGAACAGAAUGUUGAUAGUUUGGACCCAGAGUUGUGGAAUGACAGUGGAGAAAGCUUUUCUUUCACUGAAGGCUCUGAAAGGUCAAGUAUCCGGGACCUCUCCAGCUCUGCUUUAGGACACCCACUGAAGGAUGAUGACACAUGGAGGCAAAGCAAAGUAGAAUCACCUUCAGACAAAAUAAACCUGGAUUCAGAGGUUCUUGAUUUCGACAAACCUUUUGAUAAAGAACUUCCUGUUAAUGAUGUAAAGCAGUUUGUGCUCUUUGACACAGUAAGCUCCUCUAAUUCAAGUGAAAGUGGUGAAAGUGUAGGUGGACCAAACAAUUAUGUUGUAAACCCAGAGUUAAUGGAUGAAUCCAACACAGAGAACUUGGCCACUUUAAAAAGAUUUGAAGAUGUCACCUUAAAUAAAAGAAUGCCUAGUGCUGGCAUUCUUAUAAGACAAGAGACUAUCACUCUGGAGCCAUCAGACAAACAUUUGUCACUUACUCAUGGAGACAGUGUUGAUGAGAGUAUGCAUAUUUAUGACUUCCCAAGAAAGAGUGAAGAUGACAAAUUUGGGAUAUGUGUAGAUGUGGGUCUUGAUACAGUGCCAAAGAUUAAAAGGUAUGUUGAAUUUAAACAGUUCAAACCUCAUUUUGGACGUCCAACUCUGCCAUCAUUUUCUCCUACCUCAACAAAGAAGAACAACACCUUAUCAGAUAUUGAAAUGAAAUCUGAAGCUAACACUGAUGCAUUCUCUGGAGACAACAAAUGCUUAACACAAAUAGAGGUUUCUCCUGAUAGAAUUCAAAAAGUGAAGAGAUACAUUCACUUCAAACAGCCUGAACCUCAUUCCCCA
rnacentral:lncRNA from 1 species